rnacentral:rRNA from 1 species
GACGAACGCUGGCGGCGUGCUUAACACAUGCAAGUCGAACGGAAAGGCCCUGCUUUUGUGGGGUGCUCGAGUGGCGAACGGGUGAGUAACACGUGAGUAACCUGCCCUUGACUUUGGGAUAACUCCAGGAAACUGGGGCUAAUACCGGAUAGGAGCUCCUGCUGCAUGGUGGGGGUUGGAAAGUUUCGGCGGUUGGGGAUGGACUCGCGGCUUAUCAGCUUGUUGGUGGGGUAGUGGCUUACCAAGGCUUUGACGGGUAGCCGGCCUGAGAGGGUGACCGGCCACAGUGGGACUGAGAUACGGCCCAGACUCCUACGGGAGGAAGCAGUGGGGAAUAUUGCACAAGGGGCGGAAGCCUGAUGCAGCAACGCCGCGUGCGGGAUGACGGCCUUCGGGUUGUAAACCGCUUGCGCCUGUGACGAAGCGUGAGUGACGGUAAUGGGUAAAGAAGCAACGGCUAACUACGUG